GCCUUCCUACGGGGCGCAGCAGUCGGGAAUAUUGCGCAAUGGAGGAAACUCUGACGCAGUGACGCCGCGUAUAGGAAGAAGGUUUUCGGAUUGUAAACUAUUGUCGUUAGGGAAGAAAAAAAGACAGUACCUAAGGAGGAAGCUCCGGCUAACUACGUGCCAGCAGCCGCGGUAAUACGUAGGGAGCGAGCGUUAUCCGGAUUUAUUGGGUGUAAAGGGUGCGUAGGCGGCUUCUUAAGUCUGUAGUCUAAGCCCGGAGCUUAACUCCGGUUCGCUACAGAAACUGAUUAGCUUGAGUAUGGUAG
rnacentral:rRNA from 1 species